rnacentral:rRNA from 1 species
GCGCGAAAGGGGAGCAAUCCCCAAGUAGAGCGGCGAACGGGUGAGUAACGCGUGGGUAAUCUGCCUCCGAGUGGGGAACAACACCGGGAAACUGGUGCUAAUACCGCAUAACAUCGUCGGGUCUUCGGGCCUGACGAUCAAAGCCGGGGACCGCAAGGCCUGGCGCUUGGAGAGGAGCCCGCGUCCGAUUAGCUAGUUGGUGGGGUAACGGCCUACCAAGGCGACGAUCGGUAGCCGGCCUGAGAGGGCGGACGGCCACACUGGGACUGAGACACGGCCCAGACUCCUACGGGAGGCAGCAGUGGGGAAUUUUUCGCAAUGGGCGAAAGCCUGACGAAGCAACGCCGCGUGGAGGAUGAAGGCCUUCGGGUCGUAAACUCCUGUCGACCGGGACGAAAGUAGGAUGGCCUAAUACGCCGAUCUAUUGACUGUACCGGUGGAGGAAGCCACGGCUAACUCUGUGCCAGCAGCCGCGGUAAUACAGAGGUGGCAAGCGUUGUUCGGAAUUACUGGGCGUAAAGGGCGCGUAGGCGGCUUGGUCAGUCCCGUGUGAAAUCCCUCGGCUCAACUGAGGAACUGCACGGGAAACUGCCUGGCUUGAGUUCGGGAGAGGGAAGCGGAAUUCCGGGUGUAGCGGUGAAAUGCGUAGAUAUCCGGAGGAACACCGGUGGCGAAGGCGGCUUCCUGGACCGACACUGACGCUGAGGCGCGAAAGCUAGGGGAGCAAACGGGAUUAGAUACCCCGGUAGUCCUAGCUGUAAACGAUGAGUGUUGGUGUUUANGGGGGUUANCAACCCCCCCCUGUGCCGAAGCUAACGCAUUAAGCACUCCGCCUGGGGAGUACGGUCGCCAAGGCUGAAACUCAAAGGAAUUGACGGGGGCCCGCACAAGCGGUGGAACA